CAUGUAGGCGGCAUGACAAGUCCGGUGUGAAAUAUCUCGGCUCAACCGAGAAAACGCACUGGAAACUGUCAAGCUUGAGUAUCGGAGGGGAAGCUAGAAUUCCUGGUGUAGGGGUGAAAUCUGUAGAUAUCAGGAAGAAUACCGGUGGCGAAGGCGAGCUUCUGGCCAGAUACUGACGCUGAGAUGCGAAAGCGUGGGGAGCAAACAGGAUUAGAUACCCUGGUAGUC
rnacentral:rRNA from 1 species